UGCGAGGAAUGGCCCUUGUAGGACCAGGUGAGGCCGUCUUCGGAGUGGCUCCACGGGCAUUGGUUCGGGGCCAGUCCCUUGCAG
rnacentral:tRNA from 1 species